GGGGAAUUUUCCGCAAUGGGCGAAAGCCUGACGGAGCAAGACCGCGUGGGGGAUGAAGGUUUGUGGAUUGUAAACCCCUUUUGAUUGGGAAGAACACUGACGGUACCAAUCGAAUAAGCCUCGGCUAACUCCGUGCCAGCAGCCGCGGUAAUANCGGAGGAGGCAAGCGUUAUCCGGAAUUAUUGGGCGUAAAGCGUCCGUAGGUGGUUUAGUAAGUCUGCUGUUAAAGCGCGGGGCUUAACUCCGUAUCGGCAGUGGAAACUACUAGACUAGAGUGUGGUAGGGGUAGAGGGAAUUCCCAGUGUAGCGGUGAAAUGCGUAGAUAUUGGGAAGAACACCGGUGGCGAAAGCGCUCUACUGGGCCAUAACUGACACUGAUGGACGAAAGCUAGGGGAGCGAAAGGGAUUAGAUACCCCUGUAGUC
rnacentral:rRNA from 1 species